AUACGUAGGUGACAAGCGUUAUCCGGAUUCACUGGGCGUAAAGGGCGUGUAGGCGGUCUUGCAAGUCUGGAGUGAAAGUCCCGCAUUCAAUGUGGGAAUUGCUUUGGAUACUGCAGUGCUAGAGUGCGGAAGAGGGAAGUGGAAUUCCCAGUGUAGCGGUGAAAUGCGUAGAGAUUGGGAGGAACACCAGUGGCGAAGGCGACUUACUGGGCCGUAACUGACGCUGAGGCGCGAAAGCGUGGGGAGCGAACAGGAUUAGAUACCCUGGUAGUCCACACUGUAAACGAUGAAUGCUAGGUGUAGGGGGUAUCGACCCCUUCUGUGCCGCAGUCAACACAAUAAGCAUUCCGCCUGGGGAGUACGGCCGCAAGGUUGAAACUCAAAUGAAUUGACGGGG
rnacentral:rRNA from 1 species